rnacentral:lncRNA from 1 species
AUGGCACAAAGGGCUCUACAGCAGGGAGAGAAACCUGGGGGAUGUGUGGGUUCACCAAAAAAAGAUUUAUGCUUCUUUCCAUGUUUGACCCAAGAAUUGAGAGCUACAGGAAGGCAAGGCCGAGGAAAGCAGCUUGAAUCAGUAUUCUUCAGGAGAACUGCUAACGACGCCCUUCUGCACCAUUCAGUCACUAAGUGCACACCCAGUGGCAUAUUUAUUGCUGUCCUAAUGGCUGUACGUUUUUGCCUGGAGCAAUACAGAGAGAGAGGAACGGAGAAGAAAAAACCCACAGAAACUGAUGACAGCAACCUAUCCCCACUAUUGGUGUGA